AGCAUAUCAAUAAGCGGAGGAAAAGAAACUAACAAGGAUUCCCCUAGUAACUGCGAGUGAAGCGGGAAAAGCUCAAAUUUAAAAUCUGUCAGUCUUUGGCUGUCCGAGUUGUAAUCUAGAGAAGCGUUAUCCGCGCUGGACCGUGUACAAGUCUCCUGGAAUGGAGCGUCAUAGAGGGUGAGAAUCCCGUCUUUGACACGGACUACCAGGGCUUUGUGAUGCGCUCUCAAAGAGUCGAGUUGUUUGGGAAUGCAGCUCAAAAUGGGUGGUAAAUUCCAUCUAAAGCUAAAUAUUGGCGAGAGACCGAUAGCGAACAAGUACCGUGAGGGAAAGAUGAAAAGAACUUUGGAAAGAGAGUUAAACAGUACGUGAAAUUGCUGAAAGGGAAACGCUUGAAGUCAGUCGCGUUGUCCAGGGAUCAACCUUGCUUUUGCUUGGUGUACUUUCUGGUUGACGGGUCAGCAUCAAUUUUGACCAUUGGAAAAAUAUUAGGGGAAUGUGGCAUCUUUGGAUGUGUUAUAGCCCUUGGUUGCAUACAAUGGUUGGGAUUGAGGAACUCAGCACGCCGCAAGGCCGGGUUUUUAACCACGUACGUGCUUAGGAUGCUGGCAUAAUGGCUUUAAUCGACCCGUCUUGAAACACGGACCAAGGAGUCUAACAUGCCUGCGAGUGUUUGGGUGGAAAACCCGAGCGCGUAAUGAAAGUGAAAGUUGAGAUCCCUGUCGUGGGGAGCAUCGACGCCCGGACCAGACCUUUUGUGACGGUUCCGCGGUAGAGCAUGUAUGUUGGGACCCGAAAGAUGGUGAACUAUGCCUGAAUAGGGUGAAGCCAGAGGAAACUCUGGUGGAGGCUCGUAGCGAUUCUGACGUGCAAAUCGAUCGUCAAAUUUGGGUAUAGGGGCGAAAGACUAAUCGAACCAUCUAGUAGCUG
rnacentral:rRNA from 1 species